rnacentral:tRNA from 1 species
GGAAGGGUGGCCGAGCGGUUUAAGGCAAUGGUCUUGAAAACCAUCGAAGGCGCAAGUCUUCCGCGGGUUCGAAUCCCGCCCCUUCCGCCA